AAAAUAACGACAGUCAGAUCAGCCGGCUGCUCUCUGGCAUCUCAGCCUCAGCCUCGUAGGACCAAGAAGGGGUUCCUCGUCCUGGGGUUGGGGGGAGCAAAAAAACGCCCAAGCGAGAUCCCCCUAGACUGGGGCCGCCUCUUUCGGCUUCGGCAGCUGAACUCAGCUUGCAGGGGGCUCCUUCUCGCGGCCGGCGGGCGGCGGCAGCGGCUACGAUUCGCAGGCUUGAGAUCCGUUGCCCCGAGAUCCGCUGCCCGCGACUUACCCCCUAGCACCUUGAAGCGCGAGGGACCAAGAAGCUUUGUAAAUAGCAGAAGGGAGUGGAUGCAAGGAGGUGGCGGUGAGAGGGCGCGAAGAGAAGAAAAAGGAAGGAGCCGAGCUGGCAGCCGCCGCUGGAGGAAUCUGAGCGUGCAGCCGGCGCGGGGGGAGAGGCA
rnacentral:lncRNA from 1 species